AUGAAACUUGAGAGGGACCCCGAUCAUCUCUUCAAGUUCUUUUGGACUGAAGUGUAUUAUUUGGUGUGAUAUUCCCCAUAAAAAUUCACUCACAAGUUCUUUCCAGAAGGGUUCUCUCCAUUAUUAAUCUCAUCUGAGAGAUUGUUCGUCUUGUUGUAUCUUGCUGUGUAGAUCAGGUUGUAUACCUUCUUGUUCCUUUUCUGUCGUUGUAUUUUAUAGAUCAACUGAUUAAUCAGUCGAUCUAAACGUUUGUAUAGCAGAUCUUACUUCGUGUAAGAUCAAGGGUAUUGGUUGGGUGGUUUUUUGGUUUGGGUAAUCAAUAAAAGUUUUACGUCACCGUUUUGCCGCU
rnacentral:lncRNA from 1 species